ensembl:lncRNA
CCCGGACAUGCGGCACAACGCGCGGCCCCUGGGCGUGCUGGCAGCCGUGGCCAAGGGACUCCUCCUGCUCUGGGCCGUGCCCGCACGCAGCACUCAGCCCCCAUCCCCGCAGCAGACGCAGGCCUUGGUGCGGCUCAUGGCCGAGGACGCGCAGGAGCUCUUCAAACUCUACGAGCAGGAGCAGCACCUGCCCCACAACCUGUGCCGGGCCAACAGCUUGCUGGAGUGGCUGCGGGGGAAAAUGGGGCCACGGGAGAGGGAUCUGCGAGCUCUGCACAGCACCAUGACCCGCAUGGACCGGGAGCUGCAGGACAUCGCCCGGCACCAGGGCGACCUCCAUCCGCCCGAGGCCGCCAUCCUGCACCGCCUCCGCAGCACCCGCAUGAAGGUGCGCGGGCUGCUGGUCCACCUGCGGGGCACCAUGGAGGCCCGCGGCAUCGUCCCCCCCACCGCCCCCCCGCCCCGGCGGCCGGCGGCCAGCAAGGUGUUCCAGCAGAAGAUGGAGGGCUGCCGCGUGCUCUGGAGCUACACCCGCUUCAUGGACAAUCUCAGAGCACACAUGGAGGCUCAGGGCACGCGGGCACGGCGCGAGGAGAAGGGCCGGCGGAAAGGCAGGCGGAGGGGAUGGAGGACAAGCAGACCCUGAAGGAGACCUCCGUGCCAACGCCGAUCCUGCAGGGCCGCGCUCGGACGUAGAGCUGUGCCCGGUGCCGGCACCGGGGUCACUGUGGGGUGGUGACAGCCCGCCCUGACGGAUUUUCCAGUGAUUCAAUGGGUCCGGUGACACGGCCUGACUAAGGGGCCCAGCGCCCGCACACGGCACAGCACCGGCUGCGAGUGCCACCCGUCUGUCCCCCUGCAGCCCCACCACCAUCUCAGGGGGUUUGGUGACCCUGGAGCUCAGAGCCCCUGCAAGCCUGGUGCCCUCCCCACCUUGGUGUCCUUCCCAUCUUGGUGUCAUCCCCACCUUGACGUCCUCCCCAUCUCGCUGUCCUUCCCACCUUGGUGUCCUCCCCACCUUGGUGUCCCCACUCACCCGGUGUCUCUGUGAGCUUGGGGUCCCUAUUAGUUUUGGGUCCCUUCCCAUCUUGUUGUCCUUGGAGCUUUGUGUCCCCACUCCCUUGGUGUCCCUUCAAGCUUGAUGUCCCCAAUUGGUCAGUUGGUGACCCCACUCACUUGACAUCCCUAUGAGCUUGGGGUCCCUAUUAAUUUCAUGUCCAUCCUACCUUGAUGUCCCCACUUGACAUUCCCACCCGAUGUCCCCUCUCAGCAUCCUCAUGAGCACACUGAGCUCCCCUCCGUGCUCACCCCUUCUCUCUCCCUGUCCCCAUCAUCCCCGUGCCCACCCACCCCUCAUCACCCCACACCCCCAGGUGCCCCCCGGUGUUGGGCACAGCCCCGUGCUCUGGCAGUGGGCACCGACCCCCCAUAACUUAUACGUGACAGUGGUUCCUGUAUUUAUUGAAGCCAUCAAAUUAAUUUAACGCGUCCCCGCACUGGGGACGAAUAUUUAAGUUUACACUUUUAAUAUAUGGAUAUAUAUUUUAAAAUAUAUUUUAAAAUGGAUAUCUAUUUUUGCUAUUUUUUUUUAUUGUAUUGUGUUAAAGUAUAAAUUUUAUUUAUGAAUGCAAAUAUUAUUUUGUACUGGAAGAGGGGCACCGACCCUUUAUUUUUCUAUGUCAACAGAUGGAAAUAAAGUCUUGACCUCGGCCUGUGUGCCGAUGCCUCUGUCCAGGUGUGUCCCUGUGUCUGUCCAUGGGGCCCAGGCAAACCCCCAACACAUCCUGUGAUUCCCUGGGAGCUUUUUGGGGCCCGGUGCUACCAGGAAUCCACCUAAGCAUGGGGGUGGGAUGGAGGACACAGUGAAAACUAAACGAAUUUGGGAACUGAUUGGCAAUAACCUGAAAGGAAAGUGAGGUCAGGAGGAGGAGGAUGGAGGGAAACAGAGUGGGCGCAGCGUG